rnacentral:rRNA from 1 species
GACGAACGCUGGCGGCGUGCUUAACACAUGCAAGUCGAGCGGAAAGGCCCUUUUGGGGGUACUCGAGCGGCGAACGGGUGAGUAACACGUGAGUAAUCUGCCCUUCACUCUGGGAUAACGUUCAGAAAUGGGUGCUAAUACCGGAUGUUUACAUGGUCUCGCAUGGGAUGGUGUGGAAAGGUUUUUUCUGGUGGGGGAUGUGCUCGCGGCCUUUCAGCUUGUUGGUGGGGUAAUGGCCUACCAAGGCUUUGACGGGUAGCCGGCCUGAGAGGGUGACCGGCCACACUGGGACUGAGACACGGCCCAGACUCCUACGGGAUGCAGCAGUGGGGAAUAUUGGACAAUGGGCGGAAGCCUGAUCCAGCAACGCCGCGUGAGGGAUGACGGCCUUCGGGUUGUAAACCUCUUUCACCAUCGACGAAGCUGCAUCUUUGUGGGUGUGGUGACGGUAGGUGGGGAAGAAGCACCGGCCAACUACGUGCCAGCCGCCGCAGUAA